AUGACGACAUCGAACGAAAAGCAUUCCACCACGAGAAAGGAAACCAAGUCAAUGCGAACAAGAGAAGGAACAACACACGAAAACGUUGCUGGUCAUUCCCCACCUUUCUCCGCCCACCAAUCAUCCUCCUCCGGCAGCACAACUCCGGAUUGGCGUGGCCAUCAAAGGACCAGGACGCGACUCCUCUCGUCUGCGGGUUUGUUCUUGCGGACCAUGGACGACGGGGACAUAGAUUUCACCAAUCCGGAGACGUACCUGCACCCGGCCAUGGACAGCUACUUUGACGACAUCCUGAAAGACCCGGAGCACCUCGCAUGUACUCACACCCACGCCUGCUGCAACCCGCAUGUACGCCAUGACCUUGCCCACCACACCCAGACCUGCGUCCAUGUCCACACCAAGAUCCUCCGGGAGGAGUCGGAUGAUGUCCCCGAGACCUCCGAGUCGCCGCAAGAGAAUAACGGCCCCAAGAAGCGCCCGCCAGGUAACCGGGCAGCUGUGAGGAAGUACCGUGAGAAGAAGAAGGCCCACACGACUUUGCUGGAGGAAGAGGUGGCUCGCCUCAAGGCUUUAAACAAGCAGCUCGUGAGGAGGCUUCAGAGUCACUCGGCGCUCGAGGCUGAGGCCUCCAGGCUCCGCUGCCUGCUUGUCGACAUUAGAGGGAGGAUCGACGGAGAGCUUGGUGCUUUCCCUUACAAGCGGCCAGUGAAGAACAAGGAUUUGGCUGACCAAGGAAGUUCCCUUGGUGGUGCCCGGCAGGUUAGGCUCAGAUGCAACGAUCCGCCCUACUGCAGUCCAGAGAUGCAGGCCAUGACAAUGGAUGACGAUGAUGUUAUGAGUAGCGAGGUGUUGGGUCAAGGUGCCGGUGAUAUUGCAAACAACCAGUGGCUCCAAGGUUUGCCAGAUGAUGUAAAGAGGUGA
rnacentral:rRNA from 1 species